GAUGCUUUGCCUACAUCUCCUUAUUGAACCAUGUAAUCAAUCAUAGUGGUAAAAGAGAUCAGGGUCAGGGACGGUACAAGAUACAACCAGGACAUCUGAACAUCUCAUCACUCAAGAAAUCAUGAACAUUCCCAGCGUGUCCAGGAGUUGUGUCUAAAGGAUCCAGGAGCCAACCCGAGGAGGCUGAAGAUAGAAUCAUGAUUACAGAGAAGCUCAUUUGGUAGUUUGAAGAUAAAACCAUCGUUAUGCUAGUGAAAGUGGAAUCCUACACAUUUCUUACAAAAAUCAUAAAAACUGGAAGAUGGCCAAGUACCUGUUGCCUGAGAGGGGAGCCAAUUGGAGCGGCUGCCCAUUUAUGACUUCUUAUUCCAGAAGGCUGAACUUGACACAGAGAAGACAAACAGGGCCCAGGAACUCCUACUCUCCAAAGCCACCUGGUUGAAGGCAGCACCUCGGGACAGGUAACAGGACAUGGAACAUCAUGAUAGACAUUUUCUCUCCAACUAGAACUGAGCACGUGGGGCUGUACCAAUAUCUUAUUUAUUCCCAACAACAUCGAGAAGGCAUUCAGUAAAUAUUAGUUGGAAAAAAUGAAUCAUUCAAUCACUUUAUUUCUGUGGAAUCAUAUGAAAGAGAGGAACAUCAGAAGAAAUUCUGCCUAUUGCAUUAAUUCUUCGAAGGCAGGGAUGAGCAAACAUUUUCCCCAAAGUUCCAAAGAGGAAAUAUUUAGGCUUUUUAGGGCAUGCAUUCUCCAUCACAACUAUUCAAUUCUGGGGAUUAUGCUAAAAGACACAAUACAUCCAUGAGCACCUGAGUUACAGUAAAAUCUAAUUUGUAGAACCAGAGGAUGGGCUGCAUUAGGAAGGAGCUGUGCUGGAAUUUGCCCACCCCCGCCUGGAGACUUGGUGCUUUAGACUCAGUGCCCAGAGAAAAUCUUCCUUCUAUGUAUUCUCCAAACAUACAAUCUUCAAGCCUUAUGCCUACUCCCCAGCUCCCCACAUUAUUCAUUCUUUCAGUUAUUCCAUGAUAUUAGACCCUCUUCUGGCUAAGCACUUUUCCAAAUGAAACAACAACACAAAAAUCCCAGAAAUGUAAUUUUAUUCCCACAAUCGAUUUGUCCUGACAUAUCUGCCCCCCAAGAUGUGCUUUGCUCAUUAGAAUACCUUGGUCGUCUCCUCUAGCUUCUGGUUAUUCCUUGAACAGGUGCCCUGCCCACUCAGCUCCUGUUUGUUGGGCACACCCUCGCUUCACCGUUUCUCUCAUUGCAGCUUUGUCUCUUUGUUUCUGGAAUAUGCUUCUGAGCUUCUUGGCCAAUGCUCCUUUGAGAUUGGUGCUAGUAACAGGACUGGAAUCUUGUACCUUCCUGCCACACUGGGCUGACUCUCUUGCCUGGACUUCUGGGAAGAAGCCGGACACUGAGCUUGUUAGAAUAUCCUUGCUUUCAUUCUUCUGAAAAAAUUCAGUAUGUGUAGGUGUGCCUAUGUAAACACACACACACUCUCUCUCUCCCUCACACACACACACUCUCUCUCUCUCACACACACACACAUACACAGUAAAUUUUGAAAAAUAUAAGUAAAAAAAUAAAAUUUUAUUAAACAGUAAAUGGAAUAAUGAGAUAUGUAACAUCAUCAAAUCUGAGACCUCUAAUGAUGCCUGAAACUACGGAUAGUAUGGGGCACUUUUGUAUACUGUAUUUUUUUCUAUACAUACUUGACUAGAAUAAAGUUCAGUUUAUAAAUGAAGCAUAGUAAA